GUGAAUCAUCGAAUAUUUGAACGCAGAUUGCACUUUCUGGAAUUCCGGAAAGUAUGCCUGUUGGAGGGUCAGUUAAAUAAAAAUCGGGGUUGUUGCGGCCUUUCGUGGUGACGCGUGGGAAUUGGGUGGUCUUACAUUGGGUUAAGUGACUUAAAAUUUUGGCAUGAUUUUCGAACGGAUUGAAAUCGCUGACGUACGUUUGAGA
rnacentral:misc_RNA from 1 species